rnacentral:rRNA from 1 species
GACGAACGCUGGCGGCGUGCCUAAUACAUGCAAGUAGAACGCUGAAGGAGGAGCUUGCUUCUCUGGAUGAGUUGCGAACGGGUGAGUAACGCGUAGGUAACCUGCCUGGUAGCGGGGGAUAACUAUUGGAAACGAUAGCUAAUACCGCAUAAGAGUAGAUGUUGCAUGACAUUUGCUUAAAAGGUGCAAUUGCAUCACUACCAGAUGGACCUGCGUUGUAUUAGCUAGUUGGUGGGGUAACGGCUUACCAAGGCGACGAUACAUAGCCGACCUGAGAGGGUGAUCGGCCACACUGGGACUGAGACACGGCCCAGACUUCUACGGGAGGCAGCAGUAGGGAAUCUUCGGCAAGUGACGGAAGUCUGACCGAGCAACGCCGCGUGAGUGAAGAAGGUUGUCGGAUCGUAAAGCUCUGUUGUAAGAGAAGAACGAGUGUGAGAGUGGAAAGUUCACACUGUGACGGUAUCUUACCAGAAAGGGACGGCUAACUACGUG